rnacentral:lncRNA from 1 species
GUUAGUUGUGGGCGGGGCCCCAAACGACAGCUUGGUCCACUAAUCGCAAAAGCAAUUAAUUUUAUUUUCUUAAACAAACAAAGAAAAAUAUAUAGAAAAUUGGUAAAUAUAUAACAUACAAAUAUGAAUUGAUUAAAAAUUAAGUUUGUUUUAUUCUUAAUAACUUCGCUGGCACAUGGCAUUAAAUUUCACGCGGGAAGUGGCCUAUUUGAGGCCUACUCGAUUAUUUAGUUAGCAUUUAGGCACAAAGACACAAAUUUAUAUCAUAGUCGGAUAAAUGUUGAAGUAAGAAGAUGAAAUUACCAAAAAAUGACGCUUUCUUCAGUUUCACUGUGGAAAGACCGCGAAGUGAAGUAUACACGCCGUGGUUUCUGUGGAUGGCCCGCGUGUCUUCAGCAGCGGCAGAAUCCUCUGAGGAACUGGCCUGACUCAUCUGCAUCUGUGACAGGUCAUGUCCAUGAGCUGGAGUGGAUAACCCAAAGCGCCCAAACCGGCCCACUAACACUCAAAUCCAUGUUUAAAGAUGCUGUCAGGAAAGGAAAUGCAUGGAAAAGUUGCUACCAGUGGACUCCAUUGCUUCAGUAAGAUGGAUGGCAAGUGUGUAAAGGAGCUGACAUCACAACACUUACUGGGAGGCAGCGCAAGCAGCCCCCCGGUGACCUGCGAUUCAAGCCCCAGAUUAUGGUUGUUCAUUGUUUGUUUCUGCUCCUUGUUCAUGCUCGGCGACAGACCGCUAUCCUAACGGCGUACACAAAUUAAACCUCGUAUCAGAUCGCAACUAAGUCUGAGAGUGAGACUUGAGUAGAAGUCUAGUAAAAUAAAGAUUGAUUUGUUCUUUUACAAAAUUCGGUUAGUUUUCAUGAAAUUUUUCCUGAAUGUCUUGUAAUUAAUUACGUUGCAGGCUUGAAUUGUGCUAUGAUCAUCAUCAACGCUAAACAUAUUAUUGAUG